rnacentral:misc_RNA from 1 species
UUGCAAGAGGUGUUCAUGUUGCAUCUGUUGUAAGUACGAUGACAACAAGGAUCCCAGCCUGUGGUUAACUUGCAGCUCAGAGCCUCCAUUUCAGGGUGUUGCAUGUGGUAUGUCAUGUCAUCUUGACUGUGCCUUGAGACAUGAAAGGUCAGCCAUUGGAAAAGAUGAAUAUGAUGGGAGCUUUUGUUGUGUAGCUUGUUGGAAAGUGAAUGAUUUACU